AUUGAACGCUGGCGGCAUGCCUUACACAUGCAAGUCGAACGGUAACAGGUCUUCGGAUGCUGACGAGUGGCGAACGGGUGAGUAAUACAUCGGAACGUGCCUAGUAGUGGGGGAUAACUACUCGAAAGAGUGGCUAAUACCGCAUGAGAUCUACGGAUGAAAGCAGGGGAUCGCAAGACCUUGUGCUACUAGAGCGGCCGAUGGCAGAUUAGGUAGUUGGUGGGAUAAAAGCUUACCAAGCCGACGAUCUGUAGCAGGUCUGAGAGGACGAUCAGCCACACUGGGACUGAGACACGGCCCAGACUCCUACGGGAGGCAGCAGUGGGGAGUUUUGGACAAUGGGCGAAAGCCUGAUCCAGCAAUGCCGCGUGCAGGAUGAAGGCCUUCGGGUUGUAAACUGCUUUUGUACGGAACGAAAAGCCCCGGGUUAAUACCCUGGGGUCAUGACGGUACCGUAAGAAUAAGCACCGGCUAACUACGUGCCAGCCGCCGCAGUAA
rnacentral:rRNA from 1 species